UUAGAGUUUGAUCCUGGCUCAGGAUGAACGCUGGCGGCGUGCUUAACACAUGCAAGUCGAACGAAGCACUUAAGUUUGAUUCUUCGGAUGAAGACUUUUGUGACUGAGUGGCGGACGGGUGAGUAACGCGUGGGUAACCUGCCUCAUACAGGGGGAUAACAGUUAGAAAUGGCUGCUAAUACCGCAUAAGACCACAGCACCGCAUGGUGCAGGGGUAAAAACUCCGGUGGUAUGAGAUGGACCCGCGUCUGAUUAGCUAGUUGGUGGGGUAACGGCCUACCAAGGCGACGAUCAGUAGCCGACCCGAAAGGGUGACCGGCCACAUUGGGACUGAGACACGGCCCAAACUCCUACGGGAGGCAGCAGUGGGGAAUAUUGCACAAUGGGGGAAACCCUGAUGCAGCGACGCCGCGUGAAGGAUGAAGUAUUUCGGUAUGUAAACUUCUAUCAGCAGGGAAGAAAAUGACGGUACCUGACUAAGAAGCCCCGGCUAACUACGUGCCAGCAGCCGCGGUAAUACGUAGGGGGCAAGCGUUAUCCGGAUUUACUGGGUGUAAAGGGAGCGUAGACGGUAUGGCAAGUCUGAUGUGAAAGGCCAGGGCUCAACCCUGGGACUGCAUUGGAAACUGUCGAACUAGAGUGUCGGAGAGGCAAGUGGAAUUCCUAGUGUAGCGGUGAAAUGCGUAGAUAUUAGGAGGAACACCAGUGGCGAAGGCGGCUUGCUGGACGAUGACUGACGUUGAGGCUCGAAAGCGUGGGGAGCAAACAGGAUUAGAUACCCUGGUAGUCCACGCCGUAAACGAUGACUACUAGGUGUCGGGUAGCAGAGCUAUUCGGUGCCGCAGCCAACGCAAUAAGUAGUCCACCUGGGGAGUACGU
rnacentral:rRNA from 1 species